AGUGAACGCUGGCGGUAGGCCUAACACAUGCAAGUCGAAAGGCAGCACAGAGGAGAUUGCUCCUUGGGUGGCGAGUGGCUGAAGGGUGAGGAAUACAUCGGAAUCUACUCUGUCGUGGGGGAUAACGUAGGGAAACUUACGCUAUUACCGCAUACGACUUACGGGGGAAGGCAGGGGAUCUUAGGACCUUGCGCGAUUGUAUGAGCCGAUGUCGGAUUAGCUAGUUGGCGGGGUGAAGGGCCACCAAGUCGACGAUCCGUAGCUGGUCUGAGAGGAUGAUCAGCCACACUGGAACUGAGACACGGUCCAGACUCCUACGGGAGGCAGCAGUGGGGAAUAUUGGACAAUGGGCGCAAGCCUGAUCCAGCCAUACCGCGUGGGUGAAGAAGGCCUUCGGGUUGUAAAGCCCUUUUGUUGGGAAAGAAAUCCAUCUGGUUAAUACCCGGGUGGGAUGACGGUACCCAAAGAAUAAGCACCGGCUAACUUCGUGCCAGCAGCCGCCGUAA
rnacentral:rRNA from 1 species